ACCCUCUCAGUAAUGCACCUGGAGAGUUUCCAGUACUCUGCCAGGCUCAGCUGUCGGAAGGAGAGUCAAGCAGAGGCAUACCCAUUCCAUUCCUAGCUUGGGCAGUGGCUAGGGAGUGGAAAGCAAUCUGCUACAAGU